UACGUAGGGGGCGAGCGUUAUCCGGAUUCAUUGGGCGUAAAGCGCGCGUAGGCGGCCGCCUAAGCGGAACCUCUAACCCCGGGGCUCAACCUCGGGCCGGGUUCCGGACUGGGCGGCUCGAGUGCGGUAGAGGAGAGCGGAAUUCCCGGUGUAGCGGUGGAAUGCGCAGAUAUCGGGAGGAACACCGAUGGCGAAGGCAGCUCUCUGGGCCGUCACUGACGCUGAGGCGCGAAAGCUGGGGGAGCGAACAGG
rnacentral:rRNA from 1 species